UUGAACGCUGGCGGCAGGCCUAACACAUGCAAGUCGAGCGCGAAAGGUUUUCGGACUGAGUAAAGCGGCGGACGGGUGAGUAACGCGUGGGAAUCUGCCCAGUAGUGGGGGACAGCAGUCGGAAACGACUGCUAAUACCGCAUACGCCCUACGGGGGAAAGGGGGGGAUCUUCGGACCUCUCGCUAUUGGCUGAGCCCGGGUCGGAUUAGCUAGUUGGUAGGGUAAAGGCCUACCAAGGCUACGAUCCGUAGCUGGUCUGAGAGGAUGAUCAGUCACACGGGGACUGAGACACGGUCCAGACUCCGACGGGACGCAGCAGUGGGGAAUAUUGGACAAUGGGUGCAACCCUGAUCCAGCCAUGCCGCGUGUGUGAAGAAGGCCUUAGGGUUGUAAAGCACUUUCAGUGGGGAGAAAGGUUUGUCACCUAAUACGUGAUGAAAUUGAUGUUACCCACAGAAGAAGCACCGGCUAACUCCGUGCCAGCCGCCGCAGUAA
rnacentral:rRNA from 1 species